rnacentral:rRNA from 1 species
ACUCAAAGGAAUUGACGGGGACUCGCACAAGCGGUGGAGCACGUGGUUUAAUUCGACAACAAGCGGGAAACCUCACCAAGGCUUGACAUGACGCUGCAAGCCCCGAGAAAUCGGGGCCGCCUACGAGGGUGCGUCACAGGUGCUGCAUGGUUGCCGUCAGCUCGUGUCGUGAGAUGUACGGUUAAGUCCGAUAACGAGCGCAACCCCUAUCCUAAUUUAUACUUUAUUAGGAAACUGCCUCGGAUAACGAGGAGGAAGGUGGGGAUGACGUCAAAUCAGCAUGGCUCUUACGCCUUGGGCAACACACAUGCUACAAUGGCCGGUACAGAGGGUCGCUAAACCGUAAGGUGGAGCUAAUCCCAUCAAAACCGGUCUCAGUUCGGAUUGAGGUCUGCAACUCGACCUCAUGAAGCCGGAAUCGCUAGUAACCGUGAAUCAGCACGUCACGGUGAAUACGUUCUCGAGUCUUGUACACACCGCCCGU